rnacentral:tRNA from 1 species
GAGGGCAUAGCUCAGUGAUGAGAGCCUAUGCUUAGCAUGUGCAAGAUCCUGGGUUCAAUCCUCAGUACCUCCA